AUGCGGCUCGGUGAUAUAGAACCACCCCGAUUGCCACCCCUUCACGGUCUCCACAUAGGAGCCUUCAAGCCAGGUGACGUUGGGCAUCUUGCCCACCAUGGCGCCCCCGCACUCCGCUUGUUGGCCAACCACCACCUUCGGCUUCUCGUUGAAGGUCUUCAGCCGCAGGCCGAAGUGGGGCUUGAUGCGGAGGAAGGCCUCGCACACGAUGAUAAACGCCGAGAUGUUGAGGAUGAAAUUAGGGGCCAGAUCAUGGAAGUCCAGCCCGUAGUAGAACAUAAGCCCGCAGACAAAAUGGGUGGAGGAGGAAUCCCAGUCCACGGACGAAGUGGGCAAGGAAUACAACCCUCUCAUGGGGUUAUGGAGUAG
rnacentral:rRNA from 1 species